rnacentral:rRNA from 1 species
GACGAACGCUGGCGGCGCGCCUAACACAUGCAAGUCGAACGGAGCUGAGAGAAGCUUGCUUUUCUUAGCUUAGUGGCGAACGGGUGAGUAACGCGUGAGUAACCUGCCCUGGAGUGGGGGACAACAGUUGGAAACGACUGCUAAUACCGCAUAAGCCCACGGCCCGGCAUCGGGCUGAGGGAAAAGGAUUUAUUCGCUUCAGGAUGGACUCGCGUCCAAUUAGCUAGUUGGUGAGGUAACGGCCCACCAAGGCGACGAUUGGUAGCCGGACUGAGAGGUUGAACGGCCACAUUGGGACUGAGACACGGCCCAGACUCCUACGGGAAGCAGCAGUGGGGGAUAUUGCACAAUGGGGGAAACCCUGAUGCAGCGACGCCGCGUGGAGGAAGAAGGUUUUCGGAUUGUAAACUCCUGUCGUUAGGGACGAUAAUGACGGUACCUAACAAGAAAGCACCGGCUAACCACGUG